UACAAUCCUUGCUGCCCAGUGGAA
rnacentral:misc_RNA from 1 species